CCUACGGGAGGCAGCAGUGGGGAAUAUUGCACAAUGGGGGAAACCCUGAUGCAGCGACGCCGCGUGAGUGAAGAAGUAUUUCGGUAUGUAAAGCUCUAUCAGCAGGGAAGAAAAUGACGGUACCUGAUUAAGAAGCCCCGGCUAACUACGUGCCAGCAGCCGCGGUAAUACGUAGGGGGCAAGCGUUAUCCGGAUUUACUGGGUGUAAAGGGCGUGUAGGCGGGAAAGCAAGUCAGAUGUGAAAACUCAGGGCUCAACCCUGAGACUGCAAUUGAAACUGUUUGUCUUGAGUGCUGGAGAGGCAAUCGGAAUUCGGUGUGUAGCGGUGAAAUGCGUAGAUAUAAGGAGGAACACCAGUGGCGAAGGCGGAUUGCUGGACAGUAACUGACGCUGAGGCGCGAAAGCGUGGGGAGCAAACAGGAUUAGAUACCCUGGUAGUC
rnacentral:rRNA from 1 species